CAGCUCCUGGAGGUAUUUAACGCAAGCUGGCAAGAGCACACCCACCAGAAGAACUACAUUUUCUUAUUGCGAGAGGGUUUUGGCAUCACUCCUCCGAGCGUCAGGAGCCAGAGAUCUCCCCUGCAGUGCGAGUGCUGGAAGUGCCAAAGACAGCAUGCGCUCUUGCCCCAACCUGUGCCUGGGCACAGCAAACACAUGAUGAGGAAAGUGCUGCUUCCUUGGUUUGCUGCGAUUUUCAAGGUUGAAGUUGUCUGUCAUUUUUAUACUUGCAGAGUGCCCAGCAAUACAGGACUCUGAACCUGGCUGGAAGAGAUAUGGGCUCUUUAAUAGAUACAAUAAAUAACAAACAUUUUAAAGUUA